rnacentral:rRNA from 1 species
GAUGAACGCUGGCGGCGUGCCUAAUACAUGCAAGUCGAGCGAACAGAUAAGGAGCUUGCUCCUUUGACGUUAGCGGCGGACGGGUGAGUAACACGUGGGUAACCUACCUAUAAGACUGGGAUCACUUCGGGAAACCGGAGCUAAUCCCGGAUAAUAUUUCGAACCGCAUGGUUCGAUGGUGAGAGAUGGUUUUGCUAUCACUUAUAGAUGGACCCGCGCCGUAUUAGCUAGUUGGUAAGGUAACGGCUUACCAAGGCGACGAUACGUAGCCGACCUGAGAGAGUGAUAGGCGACACUGGAACUGAGACACGGUCCAGACUCCUACGGGAGGCAGCAGUAGGGAAUCGUCCGCAAUGGGCGAAAGCCUGACGGAGCAGCGCCGAGCGAGUGAUGAAGGUGUUCGGAGCGGAAAACCCUGUUAUUAGGGAAGAACAUACGUGUAAGUAACUGUGCACUUCUUGACGGUACCUAAUCAGAAAGCCACGGCUAACUACGUG